AUGGACAAGGUCAGGCACGCAACCCCUACUGCCAAAUUGCAAAAAUCCAAGAGGUGGAUUCACUUUGCCGCUUCAUCGAAAACAAAGAUCAUAGCUUUUGGUCUGAAGAAAACUUAUUCGCCAUCCGAAGAAGUUCAUCACUUUCCUCUUGAGGCCUUGGGUGUUCAAGGCAGCUCUUCUGUGCAGUCCUUGUCUCUCGCUGCUGUUUCUAUAAAGCCACACCCGAUAUCUGAAGACUUUCCAGGCUUGCUAGCAAACUGUUCGGCACUUGAGGACAUAGAGAUCACAGAGAAAGACCUGUGCUUGGACUACUUGCUCCGAUUGAUCGCAAACUUUGAAAUGUCAAGCUGGGGUGCUGUAUCUUACAGCCAAGGGUUGCGGCCAGUAUGUUUCCCAUCCAGGAUCAUGGCGUCGGGUGUGCUGCCCGGGAGGUCAGCAGAUGGGCACAGCUACCUCGGAGCGCUUCCAUAUAAGGUGAUCAGAGUCUCAGGUGCCCCUUCACAUUUGGGGUCGAUUGGGGUCAAUCGAGUGCCGAUGGAGGCAUCAUGUAAUACUGAUGAUGGCGGGUCCCGUAAGCCAGUUCGCUGGGUUCUUGAGAGCCUGUCGUGCAAAGAGAUAAUGAUGUCAAUAUUAUUUGUAGAUGGUUUUGAAGGUGACUACGUUGACAACCACCGGGCCACCCUGCACAGGUCUAAGCCAGGCAGGAACGAUCCUCUACAGCCGUCGGAUCCAUCCAUCAGAUGGAUCUGGCCGUUAAUCACGCUCGGGCCCAGUGCGCAGCGCCUCCCCCUGGCGAGGGAUGAGAAGGGCUCGUGUGGGCCUCGGCCCGUAAAGUUGGGCUGGAGAAUAAACGGAAUCCAGCCCAUCUGUCUCUCCCAUUGCUUUCCUUUUUCGACUUCACUAACUGCUCCACGGAGCUCCGCCGAUCUUACAGCAGCAAUGGCCGGAGCAGGAGAAGAUGACGGCGAAGUAGCUCUCCUCCUCCUCCCGCUCCCUCCUCUAGGUCAGCAAGCAAGCAGAUCGAUCGACUGCGAGAUCCUUCCCCCUUAA
rnacentral:rRNA from 1 species